AUGUCGGGCGGCCUUUUCCGGGGGACGUGCGCUGACCAGGACACACGCUUCUCCAACAAGCAAGCCAAGCUAUUUAAGACGUAGAAGUUCGCGCCUGAGCUUGACCAUGUGGUGGAUAAGUCAAAGGUCAAGAUGGACAUGAUGAAACUCUAGAUUGCCAAGUGGGUCACUGAGCUCAUUGGGUUUGAGGACGAAGUUCUGAUCAACUUUAUCUAGGGCCUCCUCGAGGAGAAGGAAGCGGAUGGAAAGAAGAUUCAGAUCCAGCUGACAGGGUUCAUGGAAAAGAACACAAUGAAGUUCAUGAAGGAGCUCUGGAGCCUUCUCCUCAGUGCGCAGCAGAAUGCCAGUGGGGUGCCUCAACAGUUUCUGGAUGAAAAGGAAGCUGAGAUACAUAAGAAAAAGGCAUAGGAUGACAGGAUUGCGCAGGAGAUCCAAAAGAAGCCAGAAAAGGAGGGAAUGGACUCAGAACUGGAAAAGAACAAAACGAUGGAUGGGGAUGCUGGUAACUCAAGAUCCUAUGGUGAUCCAGUUGCCUCUGCUUUAAACAGUACAAAUUUCAAUAUCGAGGAAGAAAAGGACAAUGAUUUCAAGCGCACCUCAAGACCAAAAAACAGGGGAAGUUGCAGAUCCAGGAGCAUAUCUUUGUUGCCACGUGCUAGGCAAAGAUCUAUUUCUCCCAGAAAUAAUUCUCGUUCUCCUUCUAGGCGUUCCCGCUCUAUUGAUAGACACCGUAGAUCAUCAUGGCGUUCAGUUUCACCUAAAUGUUCUGUUUCUCCCUGAAGGCAUUCUCCAAGAAGUAUGCCUUCAAUUUCUAGGAGAUCACCGUACUCAAGGAGAAAGUCACUUCCUUGUCAAGAUAUCCAUCUCCAUUUUCACGCCGGAGAUCACCUCUUCACAUGAAAUCACCAUCAUCUGGGCCACGAAGGUCACUUUCUCCUUGUCAUCGUCGUUCACCAGCUCAUGCACCAAGGAGAUCACCAUCUACAAUUCGAAGGUCUCCUGUUCGACGCAGAUUCUCACCAGGUAGACGUCCAUCUCCAUCUCCAGCAAGGCGCAGGCCAAGGUCCCCAUCACCAAGAAGGCGUAGGCCAAGGUCCCCAUCUCCACGAAGGCGCAGGCCAAGGUCCCCAUCUCCACGAAGGCGCAGGCCACGGUCCCCAUCCCCAGGAAGGAGCAGACCACGGUCCCCAUCUCCAGGAAGCCGCAGGCCAUGGUCUCGGUCUCCAAUAAGACGUCGGUCCCCAUCUCCAAAACGGCGGAGGAGGUCACCAAGCUCACCGAGGACUUGUUCUGCAAAUCGACGUUUAUCGCCACAGGGAAGGAGGAGUAUCAGUCCCUACACUAGCAGGACUGCAGGAGUCCUAGUCGUUCUUGCCGGAGUUUAAGUAGAGACAUCGAGAAAGAAACAAAUGGCACCCCCUUCACUAAAAACAGAGCUGUGCACUCUAGGGUCCGAGAACAAAAAACAGAUGAUAAUGAUAGGGAUGGCGCAAGGAUUGGUGGCCAUCAUUCCCCAGAUUUUGAGCAUAGAUUGUCAAAAUCCGUGAGGUCUCCUAACAAUGAAGAAAGGAACUCCACACUUGAUAGCUCUUUCAAGAACUCAGGCAAACCUAUACCUAGUCAGGGCAGCAUAGAUACAAGUGGAGAUGAGGAAGGCAGUCAUGCUAGAGAAAAUGCCCGGAAAUCAAAUUUUAUAUCAUGUGCAUAAAUUAAUUGCAAUCUAGUUCAAUGCAUGUGUCUAUCAGAAAGCACCACCUCACUGCGCACAAUGUGCAUCUUUUCAGAUAUUGUAUGAUAUUGUUUUCUGUUCUCCAGUGGCAAGGGCGUCCAGAAGAAACACCCUGAUCAACUAUCAGAAUCAUCAGAAGAUGAGCUUGCUGGUAGAAGAACAAAGCGUCAAACUGAUUCUCCUGAUGAUCAUCGUGGGAAACAUAAUUCCCCGACUAGAAUUGAAAAUGAUGACUCUUAUUCGAAGAAUGGUAGAAACAGUGAGCAUGUCAUGAGGGGUUUGCAUGAUGGUUCUGAUGAUGCAAAGAAAUAUUUGUCUAAAGUCAAUGAGGACUCCCAGUCAGAAGAUGGAAGUCCUUCGAAAAAAAAACUAAGAAAAGAGUAGACGGUAAUAGCCACACUUUUUUUGUGGGCACGUGGCUAGAUGAGAUUGCCCAGCAUUUCCUCUUAGGCCCCGUUUGUUUCCUUUCAUUUCGAGGAAUUGGAAUCUUAUUAAUGGAAUAGGCUACUUUUUUUAGAAUAUGACAUUCCACCACUUUCCAAAGUUAUCA